rnacentral:rRNA from 1 species
GCAGCCAUGCCGCGUGUAUGAAGAAGGCCUUCGGGUUGUAAAGUACUUUCAGCGGGGAGGAAGGGAUGGUGCUUAAUACGCACCGUCAUUGACGUUACCCGCAGAAGAAGCACCGGCUAACUCCGUGCCAGCAGCCGCGGUAAUACGGAGGGUGCAAGCGUUAAUCGGAAUUACUGGGCGUAAAGCGCACGCAGGCGGUCUGUCAAGUCGGAUGUGAAAUCCCCGGGCUCAACCCGGGAACUGCAUUCGAAACUGGCAGGCUAGAGUCUCGUAGAGGGGGGUAGAAUUCCAGGUGUAGCGGUGAAAUGCGUAGAGAUCUGGAGGAAUACCGGUGGCGAAGGCGGCCCCCUGGACGAAGACUGACGCUCAGGUGCGAAAGCGUGGGGAGCAAACAGGAUUAGAUAACCCUGGUA